CAGUCGCCGCGGUAAUACCGAGGGUGCGAGCGUUAAUCGGAUUUACUGGGCGUAAAGCGUGCGUAGGCGGCUUUUUAAGUCGGAUGUGAAAUCCCUGAGCUUAACUUAGGAAUUGCAUUCGAUACUGGGAAGCUAGAGUAUGGGAGAGGAUGGUAGAAUUCCAGGUGUAGCGGUGAAAUGCGUAGAGAUCUGGAGGAAUACCGAUGGCGAAGGCAGCCAUCUGGCCUAAUACUGACGCUGAGGUACGAAAGCAUGGGGAGCAAACAGGAUUAGAUACCCGAGUAGUCCCUGUCUCUUAUAC
rnacentral:rRNA from 1 species